ACGCCGAUGGUGAAGUGGUUAUCAUGCUUGCCUUCCACUACAGGUAGCAAGCGGCACGGGUUCGAUUCCCGUUCGGCGUA